rnacentral:rRNA from 1 species
AUUGAACGCUGGCGGCAUGCCUUACACAUGCAAGUCGAACGGCAGCACGGGAGCAAUCCUGGUGGCGAGUGGCGAACGGGUGAGUAAAGUAUCGGAACGUGCCCAGUCGUGGGGGAUAACGUAGCGAAAGUUACGCUAAUACCGCAUACGAUCUAUGGAUGAAAGCGGGGGAUCGCAAGACCUCGCGCGAUUGGAGCGGCCGAUAUCAGAUUAGGUAGUUGGUGGGGUAAAGGCCCACCAAGCCGACGAUCUGUAGCUGGUCUGAGAGGACGACCAGCCACACUGGGACUGAGACACGGCCCAGACUCCUACGGGAGGCAGCAGUGGGGAAUUUUGGACAAUGGGCGAAAGCCUGAUCCAGCCAUGCCGCGUGCAGGAUGAAGGCCUUCGGGUUGUAAACUGCUUUUGUACGGAACGAAAAGGACUGCCCUAAUACGGUGGUCCCAUGACGGUACCGUAAGAAUAAGCACCGGCUAACUACGUGCCAGCAGCCGCCGCCGUAA